rnacentral:rRNA from 1 species
UAUGUGAUCGUCUCUCGCAUAUCAAUAAGCGGAGGAAAAGAAACUAACAAGGAUUCCCCUAGUAACGGCGAGUGAAGCGGGAAGAGCUCAAAUUUGAAAUCUUAAAGGGUUUCCCUUUACGAAUUGUAGUUUAAAGAAGUGUUUUCUGUUGAGGUUUUGGUAAAAGUUCUUUGGAAUAGGACAUCAUAGAGGGUGAGAAUCCCGUAUUUGACCUUUACUUUCAACUUUGUGAUACACUUUCAAAGAGUCGGAUUGUUUGGGAAUGCAGUCCAAAAUGGGUGGUAAAUUUCAUCUAAAGCUAAAUAUUGGCGAGAGACCGAUAGCGAACAAGUACCGUGAGGGAAAGAUGAAAAGAACUUUGAAAAGAGAGUUAAACAGUACGUGAAAUUGUCAAAAGGGAAGCGUUUGACACCAGUGUUGUUUUUCUGAAAAUCAAUUAAAGAACUGUUUAUGCUAAGCUGUUUAGACUUUAUCAGCUAUCUGUUUAGCUUUAGGCUUUUCUUUAAUGCACUUUUCAGUUAACAAGUCAACAUCAAUUUCUUUUGCUGUAAAAAAGCUUGAGGAAGGUGGCUUGAGAUUCGUCUUAAGUGUUUAUAGCCUCUUGCCUAUGCAGUCGGAGAGAUUGAGGUCUGCAGCGUAGAUCCUUCGGGGCUAAAUGCAUUUGUGCUAAGUUAUAGCAUUUUAUAGACAACUUGUUGACUAUGAUUUGUCUUGUAGCUUACUCGCUUAUGUUAUUUUACCUACGCUUAGGAUGUUGAACGCGCACAGAGUCUC